ACGUAGGUCCCGAGCGUUGUCCGGAUUUAUUGGGCGUAAAGCGAGCGCAGGCGGUUUGAUAAGUCUGAAGUUAAAGGCUGUGGCUCAACCAUAGUUCGCUUUGGAAACUGUCAAACUUGAGUGCAGAAGGGGAGAGUGGAAUUCCAUGUGUAGCGGUGAAAUGCGUAGAUAUAUGGAGGAACACCGGUGGCGAAAGCGGCUCUCUGGUCUGUAACUGACGCUGAGGCUCGAAAGCGUGGGGAGCGAACAGG
rnacentral:rRNA from 1 species